GCCUACGGGGCGCAGCAGUGGGGGAUAUUGCACAAUGGGGGGAACCCUUAUGCAGCGACGCCGCGUGGGUGAAGAAGCGCCUCGGCGCGUAAAGCCCUGUCAGCAGGGAAGAAAAUGACGGUACCUGAAGAAGAAGCCCCGGCUAACUACGUGCCAGCAGCCGCGGUAAUACGUAGGGGGCAAGCGUUAUCCGGAUUUACUGGGUGUAAAGGGGGCGCAGACGGCGAUGCAAGCCAGGAGUGAGAGGCAGGGGCCCAACCCCUGGACUGCUCUGGAAACUGUAGUGCUGGAGUGCAGGAGAGGUG
rnacentral:rRNA from 1 species